UCUAGUGAUGAUGGCAAAGAGGUCACACCCGUUCCCAUACCGAACACGGAAGUUAAGCUCUUUAGCGCCGAUGGUAGUUGGGGGC
rnacentral:rRNA from 2 species